rnacentral:rRNA from 1 species
ACUCCUACGGGAGGCAGCAGUGGGGAAUAUUGCACAAUGGGCGCAAGCCUGAUGCAGCCAUGCCGCGUGUGUGAAGAAGGCCUUCGGGUUGUAAAGCACUUUCAGUCGUGAGAGGUAGUGUAGUUAUAGCUGCAUUAUUUGACGUUAGCACAGAAGACACCGGCUAACUCCGCCAGNACCGCGGAAUACGGAGGGUGCGAGCGUUAAUCGGAAUUACUGGGCGUAAAG